CGUACGGCGGGGCCGCGGGGCCGCGAGGCGGCGACGGGAUAACCGGAGCGACGGACAGGGAAGAGGCUUUCCCAACCAGCAGUGCCUCUCUGACGCAACUAGGGACCUCUGGGAACAGGCGGUGAUUCGGACGACGAGCUUGGGAAGAACCGAGAGGACGAGAGAGGAAGAGAUGGGUGAAGGGAGAUGACAG